GAGGGAGGAAUGUAAAAGGGCUGGGAGAGUUGUAUUACUGAUUUAAGGAGAAGGUCACAGCUGUACUAAGAGAGCACAUCUUGGAGCACUCUUCCAGCAAAGCCAUACGGGUAGAACUUAGUGGUUGCAUCUUUCCUACUCCAAUGCUGGGUAUAUAUAAUGGACCUCCCAAUAGCCAGUGGAAGAUGCAGGAACAGAUAUAACAGCAGAUCAUGGAAAAGUGUGAAACACAGCAGGGUUGUUAUAGUCAGUGAUGUUUAACUUCCCCAAUAUUGCCUGGGACUCCCUUAAUGCCAGGGGCUUUACAUGGAAGAGAAUUUGUUAGGUGCAUUCAGGAGGGUUUCUUGAAACAAUAUAAAGGAGUUGCCCCCAGUGACCGGGCAGGAGCUGAGCGCUCGGGCCGUGUCCCGCAACGGCAGCCGAGUGCACGGGCCCAGAGGGGCUGUUGGCGGGUCGGAGUGAGUCCCGGAGGGGCCGCGGGGCAUCAUGGGGCCGAGUGACGAGUGGCCGGGAGAGCUGUUCGGCCGGAAGCGGUGUUUUCGGAGGAGGCGGCUGAGUCAUUCGGGUGGCCUGCGAGGCCUAGAGCGGGGUGCUCAUCUUCCACAUGGAGUUGGAUCCCCCAACAGCAGGUGUGGCAUGGAACUGGUGUUGCCCGGAGCAGGAUACUCCCGGCGGCAUAAUGUGGGCUGGAAGGCCCAAAGCGGGUCUCUGGUGGUGGUAUGGCAGUGAAAAACAGAAGUUGGACCCUCUUAAGUUUUUGUUUUAAUUUUAUUCUGUGAAUGGCGCUUAUGUAUGAGCAAUGGAGCACACUUUUCACCGGAUUUUAUUUUGAAUGUACGUGACAAUAAAAGCUACUCAACUAGGA